UUCAGCACAGGUCAGAGUGGGGACAUCCUUUCAAAAGGCCCUGUUGCAGAGGUCACUUUGCCUUUGGCUGCGGCUGACCCUUUUGCCUUCACUCCCCUAACCACCACAAGACCGUCCUCAGACUGACCCUUCAGCCUGCAUGCCCCGUACUGUGCUGACAAUAGCAUCUGUAGAGGGCUGUCCCACUCAAAUCCUGAUGAAAUUUCAGGAGCAAAGCCACGGUGACCUUGACCUCAGA